rnacentral:rRNA from 1 species
UACGUAGGGUGCAAGCGUUAAUCGGAAUUACUGGGCGUAAAGCGUGCGCAGGCGGCUUUGCAAGACAGACGUGAAAUCCCUCGGCUCAACCGGGGAACUGCAUCUGAUACUGGAUGGCUAGAGAUUGGGAGAGGGAUGCGGAAUUCCAGGUGUAGCGGUGAAAUGCGUAGAUAUCUGGAGGAACACCGGUGGCGAAGGCGGCAUCCUGGACCAACACUGACGCUGAGGAGCGAAAGCCAGGGGAGCAAACGGG